rnacentral:rRNA from 1 species
GAUGAACGCUGGCGGCGUGCCUAAUACAUGCAAGUCGAGCGAAAAGACGAGGAGCUUGCUCCUCUGACGUUAGCGGCGGACGGGUGAGUAACACGUGGAUAACCUACCUAUAAGACUGGGAUAACUUCGGGAAACCGGAGCUAAUACCGGAUAAUAUAUUGAACCGCAUGGUUCAAUAGUGAAAGACGGUUUUGCUGUCACUUAUAGAUGGAUCCGCGCCGCAUUAGCUAGUUGGUAAGGUAACGGCUUACCAAGGCAACGAUGCGUAGCCGACCUGAGAGGGUGAUCGGCCACACUGGAACUGAGACACGGUCCAGACUCCUACGGGAGGCAGCAGUAGGGAAUCUUCCGCAAUGGGCGAAAGCUUGACGGAGCAACGCCGCGUGAGUGAUGAAGGUCUUCGGAUCGUAAAACUCUGUUAUUAGGGAAGAACAAAUGUGUAAGUAACUAUGCACGUCUUGACGGUACCUUAUCAGAAAGCCACGGCUAACUACGUG